GACGAACGCUGGCGGCGUGCCUAAUACAUGCAAGUCGAGCGGACAGAAGGGAGCUUGCUCCCGGAAGUUAGCGGCGGACGGGUGAGUAACACGUGGGCAACCUACCCUGUAGAUCGGGAUAACAUCGAGAAAUAGGUGCUAAUACCGGAUAAUCAUUUGAAGUGCAUGCUUCGAAUGUAAAAGAUGGCUCCGGCUAUCACUACGGGAUGGGCCCGCGGCGCAUUAGCUAGUUGGUAAGGUAAUGGCUUACCAAGGCAACGAUGCGUAGCCGACCUGGGAGGGUGAUCGGCCACACUGGGACUGAGACACGGCCCAGACUCCUACGGGAGGCAGCAGUAGGGAAUCUUCCGCAAUGGACGAAAGUCUGACGGAGCAACGCCGCGUGAGUGAUGAAGGUUUUCGGAUCGUAAAGCUCUGUUGUUAGGGAAGAACAAGUGCCGUUUGAAUAAGGCGGCACCUUGACGGUACCUAACCAGAAAGCCACGGCUAACUACGUGCUAGCAGCCGCAGUAACAC
rnacentral:rRNA from 1 species